AUUGAACGCUGGCGGCGUGCCUAACACAUGCAAGUCGAGCGGUAACAGGUGUAGCAAUACAUGCUGACGAGCGGCGAACGGGUGAGUAAUGCUUCGGAAUCUACCCAAUGGUGGGAAUAACCAGCCGAAAGGUUGGCUAAUACCGCAUACGUCCCACGGGAGAAAGCAGGGGAUCGCAAGACCUUGCGCCAAUGGAUGAGCCGAACUCGGAUUAGCUAGUUGGAGGGUAACGGCCUACCAAGGCGACGAUCCGUAGCUGGUCUGAGAGGACGACCAGCCACACUGGGACUGAGACACGGCCCAGACUCCUACGGGA
rnacentral:rRNA from 1 species